AGCCACGCAACGAGCACAGAGCGAACUAUUCUUUCGCCUUUUACUAAAGAAUACCGUGUGCGCAUUACAAAUAGUGGCAUACGCCAAUUUUUGGAGGGAUUUCUUUAACGGAAAUC
rfam:Nicotiana attenuata strain TT chromosome 6, whole genome shotgun sequence.